rnacentral:rRNA from 1 species
UUUGCUGACGAGUGGCGGACGGGUGAGUAAUGUCUGGGAAGCUGCCUGAUGGAGGGGGAUAACUACUGGAAACGGUGGCUAAUACCGCAUAACGUCGCAAGACCAAAGAGGGGGACCUUCGGGCCUCUUGCCAUCAGAUGUGCCCAGAUGGGAUUAGCUUGUUGGUGAGGUAACGGCUCACCAAGGCGACGAUCCCUAGCUGGUCUGAGAGGAUGACCAGCCACACUGGAACUGAGACACGGUCCAGACUCCUACGGGAGGCAGCAGUGGGGAAUAUUGCACAAUGGGCGCAAGCCUGAUGCAGCCAUGCCGCGUGUAUGAAGAAGGCCUUCGGGUUGUAAAGUACUUUCAGCGGGGAGGAAGGUGUUGUGGUUAAUAACCGCAGCAAUUGACGUUACCCGCAGAAGAAGCACCGGCUAACUCCGUGCCAGCAGCCGCGGUAAUACGGAGGGUGCAAGCGUUAAUCGGAAUUACUGGGCGUAAAGCGCACGCAGGCGGUCUGUCAAGUCGGAUGUGAAAUCCCCGGGCUCAACCUGGGAACUGCAUUCGAAACUGGCAGGCUUGAGUCUUGUAGAGGGGGGUAGAAUUCCAGGUGUAGCGGUGAAAUGCGUAGAGAUCUGGAGGAAUACCGGUGGCGAAGGCGGCCCCCUGGACAAAGACUGACGCUCAGGUGCGAAAGCGUGGGGAGCAAACAGGAUUAGAUACCCUGGUAGUCCACGCCGUAAACGAUGUCUACUUGGAGGUUGUGCCCUUGAGGCGUGGCUUCCGGAGCUAACGCGUUAAGUAGACCGCCUGGGGAGUACGGCCGCAAGGUUAAAACUCAAAUGAAUUGACGGGGGCCCGCACAAGCGGUGGAGCAUGUGGUUUAAUUCGAUGCAACGCGAAGAACCUUACCUGGUCUUGACAUCCACAGAACUUUCCAGAGAUGGAUUGGUGCCUUCGGGAACUGUGAGACAGGUGCUGCAUGGCUGUCGUCAGCUCGUGUUGUGAAAUGUUGGGUUAAGUCCCGCAACGAGCGCAACCCUUAUCCUUUGUUGCCAGCGGUCCGGCCGGGAACUCAAAGGAGACUGCCAGUGAUAAACUGGAGGAAGGUGGGGAUGACGUCAAGUCAUCAUGGCCCUUACGACCAGGGCUACACACGUGCUACAAUGGCGCAUACAAAGAGAAGCGACCUCGCGAGAGCAAGCGGACCUCAUAAAGUGCGUCGUAGUCCGGAUUGGAGUCUGCAACUCGACUCCAUGAAGUCGGAAUCGCUAGUAAUCGUGGAUCAGAAUGCCACGGUGAAUACGUUCCCGGGCCUUGUACACACCGCCCGUCACACCAUGGGAGUGGGUUGCAAAAGAAGUAGGUAGCUUAACCUUCGGGAGGGCGCUUACCACUUUGUGAUUCAUGACUGGGGUGAAGUCGUAACAAGGUAACCGUAGGGGAACCUGCGGUUGGAUCACCUCCUUACCUUAAAGACGC